rnacentral:rRNA from 1 species
ACGGAAGGCAGCAGUGGGGGAUAUUGCACAAUGGAGGAAACUCUGAUGCAGCAACGCCGCGUGGGGGAAGACGGUCUUCGGAUUGUAAACCUAAGUAGUCAGGGACGAAAUAAAUGGCGGUACCUGAAGAGUAAGCUCCGGCUAACUACGUGCCAGCAGCCGCGGUAAUACGUAGGGAGCGAGCGUUGUCCGGAUUUACUGGGUGUAAAGGGCGCGUAGGCGGGUUUGCAAGUCAGGCGUGAAAUACCGAGGCUUAACUUCGGAGCUGCGCUUGAAACUGUGAAUCUUGAGUGAAGUAGAGGUAAGCGGAAUUCCUAGUGUAGCGGUGAAAUGCGUAGAUAUUAGGAGGAACACCAGUGGCGAAGGCGGCUUACUGGGCUUUAACUGACGCUGAGGCACGAAAGUAUGGGGAGCAAACAGGAUUAGAUACCCUGGUA